rnacentral:rRNA from 1 species
UACGUAGGUGGCGAGCGUUUGUCCGGAUUUACUGGGCGUAAAAGAGCGCGCAGGCGGCUGGGCAAAGUCCGAUGUGAAAGCUUCCGGCUUAAACUGGAAAAAUUGCAUCGGAAACUGCUCGGCUUGAAGGUGGGAGAGGGUAGCGGAAUUCCCGGUGUAGUGGUGAAAUGCGUAGAUAGUCGGGAGGAACACCGAGUGGCG